AUGAUCCUUGACAUUAAUAUUACCAAGCAGCUAAUUUACGUGGAGAUGAUCAUUGCCAUUAUUUGCGCCCACUUUCCCCCGCAUUGGCCAUAUGUGACCUUUGCAUGCACAAACGGAAAAAAGGAGGAGAGAGUGAUUUCAGAGGUGGAGAGGACUUUGCGGGCUCUACUAAAGGCAAAAUUGUUGGGUUUUGCGGCGGUGGAGAGAGCGUGUUGGUGGCAAAAAUCGCGGCUCACAGAGAUCAAGGAAGGGGAUGCCGGCACUCGCUUUUUCCAUCUCAAAGCUAGCGGAAGAAGGCGCAAGAACUACAUCCCGGCACUGAAGGGGAGGGAUGGGCUAGUAUCUGAUCAUGUCGGCAAGGCGGAACUGUUGUUUGACAUGUUGAAGCAACACUUGGGCUCCUCAUCUAUGGAGCCACUACAAAGAUUUCUUCAGUUGGCAACAGAGAGAAACAUUCUAUCGCAGCUACGCCCGAGGGUGGCGCGCUUCCUGUCUAGCUUCUAUGCCGAUGAUGUGGCAUUGUUCAUUAACUCGGUGACUGAGAGCUUCAAUGCAGUACAAGCCAUCCUCACACCAUGUGGUAAUGCCUCCAGGUCAAGGACUAACGUGACCAGGUCUGUGGCAUAUCAAAUAGCAUGUUCGAACAUUCACAGGCAGCCAAUGUUCGCUAUUUUCAGAGGAGAGCCGGGAGCUUUCCCAUGUCAGUACCUCGGGCUUCCUAUUGGGGUCCGGAAGCCAAGGAGGGUGGAGAUGCAGCCGCCAAUUGAUAAACUUGCUGGAAGAUUAUCUAAUAGAAAGGGGAGGAUGAUGAGUCGUAUGGGAAGACUGGUGUAUAUUAACUUUGUGGUCACGUCCACAUCUACAUACUACCUAACGGUUUCCAACCGGAUAUGUGGCCGAUCAAGAGAGUGGAUAAACUGA
rnacentral:rRNA from 1 species